rnacentral:sRNA from 1 species
GUUUUGCGUUAGGGGUUGUAGCGGCAUCCUUUUUUGCCAUGAAAAGCAAAAAAGAUAUAGCGAAAAACCCGACCCUUG